rnacentral:misc_RNA from 1 species
GAAAGUAGCAAAUAUAUGCAGAUGUAAUUCAAUUUGGAAUGACAUGGCUACUGAAACCAACCACUUUGCUGAAAGUCACCUUCUCUCCUGAUCAUUGCCUUGUCUUUAUUCUGUGAUUUGGCCUAUAUAUUUUCUGCUUUUUAAUUUUUGUCAUUCUGUUUAUUCUAUCUAAACCUAAAUGUACUCAGUUUUGAUUGAAGAUUACAAAUAGUGGUGCUUGGAAAUUUCACAAGCAAGCUACUGUAAUAGUUGAAUGGGAUAAGAGGAUCUUGCGCAAUCACGAUAUUCUUUCUAAGCUUGAGAUAUAUCAAGGCAUUGGUUCUUCUGCCUUCUUAAUUGUUGCGAGAAAAAAUGACUCUUUUCAUCAUGGAUGUCUUGGAUUGAUUUUCUUGGUCCAUGUUCACCACUCUGAAUAUGCCAAUCAAGUUUUGUAUCAAAGAAUUGAAGGAAAUAGUAAAAAAUCACAUUGUUUUUGUUCUUUAUGUUCAUCUUUUAUUUUUAUUAUCUAAUCAUCUUUUCAUUUUAUUAUCUCAUGCAUAAAUUAUUCUUCAGAUUGAAGUGGCAAAAGUGGUGAAGACACAAGCUAACUUGGAACGACAAUUGGAGUUAAUUGAGACCCAU